rnacentral:lncRNA from 1 species
GGAUCCCAAUCAUGUUGCUGACGGCGUUGCAGGCUUGCAUGGCAGGCCCAAACAACAAAAGACCCAGCGCGUUCGCGGACCCAGCGGAGUGGGGCAGGCCCGCCGCCGUACUGAUGUACCAGGUCAUCCCGGCCCACAGCACGAAGAGGAAGAACUCCGUGCCCUGCAUGCGGUGGUCCACGUCACGAGGGGGGGGUUCGGGCAAUGCCAGGCAGGCAGGCAGGCAGGGGUUGGCACGAUUGCAGCUCUGCGCGGGUCGCGGUGGGUCACGUGUAGCAGGGGGUUGCAAGGGUCCAUGCCAGGGUGCUGCGAAGCACGCGGCUGGGUAAAGACGGCGGCGGCACAUGCCGUGACCAUGGCACAUGUCCCACUACUCACCAGCUGACUUCGGAGCACAGACAGUGUCUUGGCUCGCUUCGCCUCCUCCUGGGCAGCCGCCUCCUGCGCCUCAGCAGCCUGCGGCUGGGGCGCACGCAUGCCCUGCUGCUCGUGCGCGCCGGCGCGGGCUGUAGUGCUGCGCGCGAAAGCGGGGCGCGGCGCCGCCGCCGCCGCGGGCACGGCAGCAAGGCAGCCGCCGGCACGACGUGGGUAGGGGGCCUGCAUGUGCACAAGCGCAAACAGGGCACCAAAACUCAGGAAAGGUCGACGUGGCCAGUGGCAGGGACAUAAGCGGGGGGCGUUGGCGUCCGUUUUGAGGAGUCGGGCGAUGCCGUAUAGCUAUUUGGGACAAAGUAGACCAUUUAUGGCACCAAAUUGGCGCGCGUAGAGCGGGCCGAGGCAAGAAGCAGGACGCGGGCUUUCGGCACGAGGACUGACCUGGCCGGAAAUUCGGUGCAGCAUUCUAUCGGAGCCUUUGCAAAUCGGUCAGCAGGUUGCGGCAGAUGGCGAGCGUGGCUGCACCGUUCUCCGACAUGCGUUCACGUCCGCAAGCCGUUCGUCCGAUCUUUCGGCCUUUCAACUGUUGCGAGGCGUGUGUUCACAAGCUGUGUGGCCCGCGUGAAAUGACAGUGUCCAUGUACAUGUUGUUGCGCCGCGAGCUCGCAUCAGCUAUGCGGUGUCAUCCACGGACUGUGACCUUCCUCUAUCCGGGGGGGCCCCUGGUUCUGGUUUUUGGGAUUGGGGAAACUACCCCCUCUGUACCCUGCCUACCAGAACCCCCCUCCACUCGCAACACUCGCAACAUCCAGCCCGCACCGCUGCAACCCGCGCCCCCCUGACACCGUGGCUUGCCACAGGCCGGCAAGUUCUACUACGUGGGCGCGGUGUUGGGCUGCACCGCCGAGGACGCCCACGAGGCAGCCCUGGAGGCAGACACGGCGGCGGCUCGGGCGCGCAGCUUCGAGGUGCGUAAGUGCACAGCGGAGGGCUAGCUGCCGGGGCUGCUGCGGGGGCUGCUGCCGGGGCUGCUGCCGGGGCUAUCGGGGUAAGGGUGGAGCAGCAGAGGAGGGCCGCGUGGGGCUGGGCAGGGGCAACGGUGUUUGCCGAAUGGCAAUGGCACGGAAGCGACAUGGGUACGGCAAGUCGCCGGGUGGAUGGCGCCGACAUGUCCGCUUCUGCUGUGCUCACGCCCGCGUCUUAACCAGCAGGCACAACGCCGCGCUGGGACCCCGUCCGCAACCUCAGCCGGCACAGCAGCACCCAUGCGCUCUGGCGCGCUCCCAGCCUCCGCCGCCAUCUCCACCUCCCUGCCAUCUUCACGUCCGGGCCCGCCGAGCAGCAGCAGUGGCUGGCAGCAGCGCAGCCUCAGCGGCAUCGCUGCUUCCAGCUGGGGCGGCGGCGCUGCUGGCGGCGGCGGUAGCGCCAGUGCAGGCAGGUGGGCGGCGGUGAGGGACGUGCACCCGCUCAGCGUUGUGAAGGCGGCGGCAGGACCUGCUGCCCAAGGAGGAGCGGGAGGAGCACUGCUGAGGGAUGUAUUAGCAAUGGAAUUCGGUUAGCAUGGUCCCUCGGGGCAUGCGCCGUGGAACAUGGGUAUCUGAGGGCACGUGGCGCCCAUGCAAGGUUUCUCGCAGCCCGGUCACAAUUGCUGUCCUUCCCACAGACGGUACAUUAUGCCCUCCAGGUGAGUGAGUAGGGGGUGCAAGGUGGUGCAGAGCAUCGGAGCGCAUGCAUGGCUGCGGCUGCGGUUGCAGUUGCAACGGCGGCUGCGGAUGCGGCUGUGGUUGCGGCUGUGCCCUGUGCACGUGGCGCUUCCGGCUUGGCUGGGGCCACCAGCACCAUUGCUCGGAGCGGUGGCAUGUGUGCAGCUCCGUCCUGAAAGUCCAUGUUCUAUGUGUGUACCGGUCGCAGGAAGAGCCUCGUGUAUGCGACGCGGGGGCGGGCGCUGCACCAACUGAUGCCGCACGGUGUGACGCGGCAGCUGGCCGGCAACGACGAGCCGCUCGCGUCCGCCGCCGCCGCCAACAGCGCCGCCGCGGCCGCCUCUGCAAACGACUCAGCCUCUGAUGACCCGGACUCUGCGGUGGCGAUGUCGAGUGGCGGCGGCGGCGGCGGCGGCCGCGGCGCGGGGCGGGGCGUGCCGCAGGAGGAGGAGCUGCGGUAUGGAAUGGGCGCGGGCGGCGGAAUGGACGCGGGCGUGAACCCGUGCCUCAUGUGGCCGGGCGCGUGCUCCUUUAUGCCCUUCACGAACAUCCAGGUACGGUGCCUGGGGGCGGCUGGGCAUGCAUGGGUGGGCAGACAGGCGCUUGCACGAGCCCUGUCACCUGGCCAUGCCGUCGUGUGUGUUAAGGUCCAUUGACGCCGUGGGCAUAGCGGCGAUUGCGCGGGACCCCUUGGCCGCACGCUGCAGGGCAUGUCACUCGUUUCCACCAUGCGCUUGACCACCGGUGCUGUUGCACGCGAGUAAACAAUCCGCUCAAUGGGCGCUGUCUGCUUUGUCCGCUUAGUCCGCUUACGGUAGUCUGCUUGAUGCGCUGCUUGGAUUGCUGUGUGUUGCAGGCGGUGGCCGCAGACCCAUGGUUUCGGCGCGCGUGGGUGCGGACAGGGUAGGCAAGGCAAUGCAUGCGAUAUCCGUAACGGCAGGAAGGUCUGGUACUGGUGUGGCGGCACUGCUGAUGACAACCAUUCCAUGCGACAGUUUGUUGAGUUCGUUCAGUGCUAACAGCAAUUGCCUAUUGAUACUGUCACAAAUUACGUGGUAUCAUACAACGGUCCGGGGCACAUAGCGCUAGUGGUCAAAGGGAAGCAAGGUGACAAGGAGUGUUCUGGACAUGCAGGUUGGAGGUGUUGACUUGAUUUGAGCAUCUUGUGUAGCGUGCACAAGUUGCGGCAGAUAGGGGCUGUAGUGUUAACUGUUGCAUGCUAGCUGAGUGGCUGUGCAAAAGAAUAAGGCCAGAAGCGGGUAAGGAGGCCAGCCAGGACAUAGUUGUGCCGCGCCAUGGUCUUCUCAAAGUUGUUUUACUCAUUGGCAGGAAGAUUGGUUGUCUGCACCACUGUAGUAGUCUGAUGUUCAUGCCUAGGUGCUUGAGGAGGUGCUGCUGGCCAAAGCGGGGGACGGAAUGGGGCGACAGGUGCCUCCUCCUAGCGUUACUGGUGACCGGUCGCCCUAUACUCGGCAAGGCUUACCUGCCCGCUUACCAAUAAAGGUUUCACAUGUCACAUUGAUAAGGGCUCGCGAGCUCGGCGAACUCACUUUCAACCUCCGUGCACAGCUCCGUGCACAGCCUCGAUUGUAGUAUGCACAAACAGUAAACGUCAGUUACCUAAAGAGUAUCCAGGCAAAGUCACACUACUAUCUAGACUCCGAGGCUAAAGUGUCGCGCAGCACGCCGAUGGAAGAGUCGCCCGCCGCAUCCCUGAGCUCAAUUGGCGGUCGCUGCGAUGGAACGACGGCUGUACGUAAGUACAAGGUCAUAAGCAACGGCGGAACAGCCCGGACCUGAUAGCGCCCGUAGCUGAUAGCGCGGGCCAGGCCUUUUAUACUCGACGACUCCUCCGUCGCGCCGAACCCGACCCAACCCCGCCCCCCGCGCAACCUGGCACACACCUGCACCCCGUGCCCACCUUCAUUUGUGCACACUAACUCCGCACACCUGCAGCUAUGACGGCCUUGAGGCGCGCGGCGCCUGCGAGUCUCACGGUGUGGUGACGUGGCCGGGCCGGACGGAGCGCUACGAGGGACAGCUGGUCGGCAGCCGGCCGCACGGCCACGGCGCCUACCGCUGGCGGGACGGCACGUGAGUGACAUCCGUCCGGGAUACUUGUGUGUCUUUCUGAUGGCGGGGGGCUUGGAAGGGACAGUGUGUCAAGGGCAAACAGGGGUUACGUGACGUAGAGGGGUUACUGGGGGGCUGCAGGACUGGCGGCGGCAGCGGGUAGCUGUACAGCGGUGGCGGCAUGGCGGGUUGGCGAAUGCUGGUUGCCUUUACGCGUGCCUAGCCCGCCACCUGGGGGCUGCCUGCUUGCUGUCUCGCUCCCCUGACGUACCGUAUCUUCCAGGCCGCUUAUUGCCCCUUCCCUGUAUGACAUCUACCCCACGCAUCUACCCCUCGACACCCGGCUCGCUGAGUCACUGGCGACUACCGCCACCCCACGACCCACUCACCGCUCCAGGCUGUAUCGCGGCGAGUGGUACGCGGGCCACAUGCACGGCUGCGGCGUGCUCAUCUGGCGGGAUGCACAGGGCGAGGUGCAGGCGCAGGUGGGCUUGAGUGAUUGCUUGGGCGUACGUUUGCGUGUGUAUCGUACUCGGCUGUGUCUGUGUGUGUUCGCGUGGUGUCGCACAUGCACACGGCCGUGUGGCCGUAUGUAUGGCUAGCGUAAGAGUGCGGCCGUGUUCAUAGGCCAGAUGCAUCUUACAUUGCAUGGCUUGUACCGUGGCAGCAUCCAAACCAGCGGGCUUGAGUACACAGCGGAAUCCGGGGUUGCGUCCCACUUCGCAUUUCUCGUGCCUUGCAGUGCCUUGUGGCAUGACUGUCUGAGCUAUCAAAGCAAAGGACAGACCAUUCAACGCCCAAAGGCCUAGUUGAGCGGGCCAGUGGACUGCAGACCUCCUCCGCUAUCCAACCGACACAACCAACAGUCCUACCGCUUGCCGCAAACAGACCCAAACUACCAUUAUGCCGGUAGCCCAAGCGCCCAGCCGAACGCCCUAUAGCGGUGCACAAGCUACAUGCAUGACCCCCACGGGCCAUCGAACAUUUGUGCGAAAUGCCUAGGCUGCCUGCGUAUACACUCAACACAACGCCACGACGCCACACCCUCCCCAGAAGAAAGCCCCCGCCCACGCAGCCUUCUCUGCGACGUGCCCCACAGCCCUACCUACAGCCGCCUCUUCCACCUGUCCUCGAAGGGCUGGGGCCCGUUAGUCAUGCAGACCAGGAUCCGACUCAUGUUGCUGGCGGCGUGGCAGGCUUGCAUGGCAGGCGCCAACGGCAAAAGACCCAGCGCGUUCAGGGACCCAGCGGAGGGGGGCAGGCCCGCCGCCGUACUGCUGAUGUACCAGGUCAUCCCGGCCCACAGCACGAAGAGGAAGAACUCCGUGCCCUGCAUGCGGUGGUCCAUGUCACGAGGGGGGGGGGUCGGGCAAUGCCAGGCAGGCAGGCAAGGGUUGGCACGAUUGCAGCUCUGCGCGGGUCGCGGUGGGUCACGUGUAGCAGGGGGUUGCAAGGGUCCAUGCCAGGGUGCUGCGAAGCACGCGGCUGGGUAAAGACGGCGGCGGCACAUGCCGUGACCAUGGCACAUGCCCGACUACUCACCAGCUGACUUCGGAGCACAGACAGUGUCUUGGCUCGCUUCGCCUCCUCCUGGGCAGCCGCCUCCUGCGCCUCAGCAGCCUGCAGCUGAGGCGCACGCACGCCCUGCUGCUCGUGUGCGCCGGCGCGGGCUGUAGUGCUGCGCGCUAAAGCGGGGCGCGGCACCGCCGCCGCUGUGGUCACGGCAGCGAGGGCAAGGCAGCCGCCGGCACGAUGUGGGCAGGGGGCCUGCAUGUGCACAAGCGCAAACAAGGCACCAAAGCUUAGGCCGACGAUGUGGCCAGUGGCAGGGACACGGGUUGGGGUGCUGGCAACUGGGGCGAUGGUGUCCGUUUUGAAUAGUUCAGAAGAUGCCGUAUAGCUAUUUUCAACAAAGUAGACCAUUUAUGGCACCACAUUGGCGCGCGUAGAGCGGGCCGAGGCAAGAAGCAGGACGCGGGCUUUCGGCACGAGGACUGACCUGGCCGGAAAUUCGGUGCAGCAUUCUAUCGGAGCCUUUGCAAAUCGGUCAGCAGGUUGCGGCAAAUGGCGAGCGUGUCUGCACCGUUCUCCGACUUUCGUUCACGUCCGCGGGCCUUUCAACUGCUGCGAGCAAGGUUGCGACGCGUGUGUUCACAGGCUGUGUGGCCCGCGUGAAAUGACAGUGUCCAUGUACAUAUUGUUACGCGGCGAGCUCGCAUCAGCUAUGCGGCGUCAUCCAUCCACGGACUGUGACCUUCCUCUGCCCGCCGGCCCCUGGUUUUUGGGAUUGGGGAAAACUACCCCCUCUGUACCCUGCCCACCAGACCCCCCUCCACUCGCAACACUCGCAGCAUCCGGCCCGUACCGCUGCAACCCGCGCUGCCCCCCUGACACCGUGGCCUGCCACAGGCCGGCAAGUUCUUCCGUGACGACUACGUGGGCGCGGUGUCGGGCUGCACCGCCGAGGACGCCCACGAGGCAGCCCUGGAGGCAGACAUGGCGGCGGCCCGGGCGCGCAGCUUCGAGGUGCGUCAAUGCGCAGCGGGGGGCUAGCUGCUGGGGCUGCUGCGGGGGCUGCUGCCGGCGGGGCCAUCGGGGUAAGGGUGGUGAAGCAGAUGAUAGGGCCGCGUGGGGCUGGGCAGGGGCAGGGGCAGGGGGCUGGGCAGGGGCAGCGGUGUUUGCCGAAUGACAAUGGCACGGAAGCGACAUGGGUACGGCAAGUCGCCGGGUGGAUGGCGCAGACGCGUUAACUUCCGCUGUGCUCACGCCCACGUCUUAACCACACCGCGGCACAACACCGCGCUGGGGCCCCGGCCGCAACCUCAGCCGGCACAGCGGUACCAAUGCGCCAUGGCGCGCUCCCCACCUCCGCCGCCAUCUCCACCUCCCUGCCAUCUUCACGUCCGGGCCCGCCGAGCAGCAGAGGUGCAUUAGCGAAGGAACCUCGUUAGCAUGGUCCGUCGGGGCAUGCGCCGUGCAGCAUGGAUAUCUGAGGGCACGUGACACCCAUGCAGGUUUUCGCGCAGCCCGGUCACAAUUGCUGUCCUUCCCACGGCCAGUACAUUGUGCCCCUGUGAGAAAGUGCGGAACGCAAGGUAGUGCAGAGCAUCGGAGCGCAUGCAUUGCGCAGCUGCGGAUACGGUUGCGGUUGCAGUUACAACUGCGGAUGCGGCGGCACCAGCGCCAUUGCUCCGAGCGGUGACAUGUGUGCAGCUCCGUCCUCAAAGUCCAUGUUCUGUGUGUGUACCGGACGCAGGAAGUGCCUCGUGUGCUCGACACGGGGGCGGGCGUUGCACCAACUGAUGCCGCACGGCGUGACGCGGCAGCUGGCCGGCAAUGAUGAGCCGCUCGCGUCCGCCGCCGCCGCCGCCAACAGCGCCGCCGCGGCCGCCUCUGCAACCGACUCAGCCUCUGAUGACCCGACUCUGCGGUGGCGAUGCCAAGUGGUGGCGGCGGCGGCGGCGGCGGCCGCGGCGCGGGGCGGGGCGUGCCGGCAGAGGUAGCAGAGGAGGAGCUGCGAUAUGGUAUGGGCGCGGGCGGCGGAAUGGACGCGGGCGUGAACCCGUGCCUCAUGUGGCCGGGCGCGUGCUCCCUCAUGCCCUUCACGAACAUCCAGGUACGGUACCUGGGGGCGGCUGGGGUGGUGGGUGCAAGGUUAAAAACAUUGGGAACAGGAUACCGGGGCGGGGAGGCUGGGCAUGGGUGGGCAGACAGGCGCUUGAACAAGCCCUGUCACCUGGCCAUGCCGUCGCGUGUGUUAAGGUCCAUUGACGCCGUGGGCAUAGCGGCGAUGGCGCGGGUCCCCUUGGCCGCACGCUGCAGGGCAUGUCACUCGUUUCCACCAUGCGCUUGACCACCUGUGCUGUUGCACGCGAGUAAACAAUCCGCUGAAAGGGCGCUGUCUGCUUGAUCUGCUUAGUGUGCUUAGUCUGCUUUAUGCGCUGCUUGGAUUGCUGUGUGUUGCAGGCGGUGGCCGCGGACCCAUGGUGUCGGCGCGCGUGGAUGCGGGCAGGGUAGGCAAGGCAACGCAUGCGAUAUCCGUAACGGCAGGAAGGUCUGGUACUGGUGUGGCGGCACUGCUGAUGACAACCAUUCCAUGCGACAGUUUGUUGAGUUGGUUCAGUGAUAACAGUAAUUGUCUAUUGAUACUGUCACAAAAUACGUGGUAUCAUACAAUGGUCCGGGGCAUACAGCGCUGGUGGUCAAAGGGAAGCAAGAUGAUGACAAGGAGCGUCCUGCCGUGCAGGUUGGAGGUGUUGACUUGAUUUGAGCAUCUUGCGUAGCGUGCACAAGUUGCGGCGGAUAGGGGCUAUAGUGUUAACUGUAGCAUGCUAGCUGAGUGGCUGCGCAAAAGAACAAGGCCAGAGGCGGGUAAGGAGGCCAGCCAGGACAGUGGAGGAGCCAGGACAGCGCGAGUGUUGCCUUGCUUCGGCAUCGUCUUCUUAAAGUUGUUUUACUGAAUGGCAGGAAGAUUGGUUGUCUGCACCACUGUAGUAGUCUGAUGUUGAUGCCUAGGUGCUUGAGGAGGUGCUGCUGGCCAAAGCGGGGGACGGAAUGGGGCGACAGGUUCCGCCUCCGAGCAUGCCCACCAUGUGUUACCGGUGACCGGUCGCCCACUCGCCCUUCAAUCUUAGAGCUCAUACUCGGCAAGGCUUACCAAUGAUGGUUUCACAUGUCACAUUGAUAAGGGCUCGCGAGCUCGGUGAACUCACUUUCAACCUCCGUGCAUAGCCUCGAUUGUAGCAUGCACAUACAGUAAACGUCAGUUACCUAAAGAAUAUCGAGGCACGGUCACAUUACUAUCUAGACUCCGAGGCUAAAGUGUCGCCGCGCAGCACGCCGAUGGAAGAGUCGCCUGCCGCAUCCCUGAGCGAUGUGCUCAAUUGGCGGUCGCUGCGAUGGAACGACGGCUGUACGUAAGUAUAUGGUCGUAAGCAACGGCGGAACAGCCCGUAGCUGAUAGCGCGGGCCAGGCCUUUUAUACUCAACGACUCCUCCGUCGCGCCGCCCACCCCGCCCCCCGCGCAACCUGGCACACACCUGCACUCCAUGCCCACCUUCAUUUGUGCACACUGCUCCCGCACACCUGCAGCUAUGACGGCCUUGAGGCGCGCGGCGCCUGCGAGUCUCACGGCGUGGUGACGUGGCCGGGCCGGAGGGAGCGCUACGAGGGACAGCUGGUCGGCAGCCGGCCGCACGGCCACGGCGCCUACCGCUGGCGGGACGGCACGUGAGUGACAUACGUUAGGUAUAGCUGGGUGGCUUUCUUAUAGCGGGGGGCUUGGAAGGGACAGUGCGUCAAGGGCAAACAGGGGUUACGUGGCGUAGAGGGGUUACUGCGGGGCUGCAGGACUGGCGGCGGCAUGGCGGCAUGGCGGGUUGGCGAAUGCUGGUUGCCUUUACGCGUGCCUAGCCCGCCACCUGGGGGCUGCCUGCUUGAUGUCUCGCUCCCCUGACGUACCGUAUCUGCCAGGCCGCUUAUUGCCCUCCCCUGUAUGACAUCUACUCCACGCAUCUACCCCUCGACACCCGCCUCGCUGAGUCACCGGCGACUACCGCCACCCCACGACCCGCUCACCGCUCCAGGCUGUAUCGCGGCGAGUGGUACGCGGGCCACAUGCACGGCUGCGGCGUGCUCAUCUGGCGGGAUGCACAGGGCGAGGUGCAGGCGCAGGUGGGCUUGAGUGAUUGCUUGGGCGUGCGUUUGCGUGUGUAGCGUACUCGGCUAUGUCUGUGUGUUAAAGAGCACAAGGACACAUGUCUGUGUGUGUUCGCGUGGUGUCGCACAUGCACACGGCCGUGUGGCCGUAUGUAUGGCUAGCGUAAGAGUGCGGCCGUGUUCAUAGGCCAGAUGCAUCUUACAUUGCACGGCUUGUACCGUGGCAGCAUCCAAACCAGCGGGCUUGAGUACACAGCGGCAUUCGGGGUUGCGUCCCACUUCACAUUUCUUGUGCCUUGCAGUGCCUUGUGGCAUGACUGCCUGAGCUAUCAAAGCAAAGGACAGACCAUUCAACGCCCAAAGGCCUAGUUGAGUGGGCCAGCGGACUGCAGACCCCCUCCGCUAUCCAACCGACACAACAAAGCCACAGUCCUACCGCUUGCCGCGAACAGACCCAAAUUACCAUUAUGCCGGUAGUCCUAGCGCCCGCCCUAUAGCGCUGCACAAGUUACGUGACGCCAUCGAACAUUUGUGCGAAAUGCCUAGGCUGCCUGCGUAAACGCUCAACACAACGCCACGACGCCACACCCUCCCCAGAAGAAAGCCCCCGCCCACGCAGCCUUCUCUGCGACGUGCCCCACAGCCCUACCUACGGCCACCUCUUCUGCCUGUCCUCGAAGGGCUGGGGCCCGUCAACCAUGCAGACCAGGAUCCCAAUCAUGUUGCUGACGGCGUUGCAGGCUUGCAUGGCAGGCCCAAACAACAAAAGACCCAGCGCGUUCGCGGACCCAGCGGAGUGGGGCAGGCCCGCCGCUGCACUGAUGUACCAGGUCAUCCCGGCCCACAGCACGAAGAGGAAGAACUCCGUGCCCUGCAUGCGAUGGUCCAUGUCACGAGGGGGGGGGUCCGGGCAAUGCCAGGCAGGCAGGCAGGGGUUGGCACGAUUGCAGCUCUGCGUGGGUCGCGGUGGGUCACGUGUAGCAGGGGGUUGCAAGAGUCCAUGCCAGGGUGCUGCGAAGCACGCGGCUGGGUAAAGACGGCGGCGGCACAUGCCAUGACCAUGGCACAUGCCCCACUACUCACCAG